CACGUAGGGAGCAAGCGUUGUCCGGAUUUAUUGGGCGUAAAGAGCUCGUAGGCUGUUCGAUAAGUCGGGUGUGAAACCUCCAGGCUCAACCUGGAGACGCCACCCGAUACUGUCAUGACUAGAGUCCGGUAGGGGAGCGUGGAAUUCCUGGUGUAGCGGUGAAAUGCGCAGAUAUCAGGAGGAACACCAGCGGCGAAGGCGGCGCUCUGGGCCGGUACUGACGCUGAGGAGCGAAAGCGUGGGUAGCAAACAGG
rnacentral:rRNA from 1 species